rnacentral:rRNA from 1 species
GACGAACGCUGGCGGCGUGCCUAAUACAUGCAAGUAGAACGCUGAAGGAGGAGCUUGCUCUUCUGGAUGAGUUGCGAACGGGUGAGUAACGCGUAGGUAACCUGCCUGGUAGCGGGGGAUAACUAUUGGAAACGAUAGCUAAUACCGCAUAAGAGUAGAUGUUGCAUGACAUUUGUUUAAAAGGUGCAAUUGCAUCACUACCAGAUGGACCUGCGUUGUAUUAGCUAGUUGGUGGGGUAACGGCUCACCAAGGCGACGAUACAUAGCCGACCUGGGAGGGUGAUCGGCCACACUGGGACUGAGACACGGCCCAGACUCCUACGGGAGGCAGCAGUAGGGAAUCUUCGGCAAUGGACGGAAGUCUGACCGAGCAACGCCGCGUGAGUGAAGAAGGUUUUCGGAUCGUAAAGCUCUGUUGUAAGAGAAGAACGAGUGUGAGAGUGGAAAGUUCACACUGUGACGGUAUCUUACCAGAAAGGGACGGCUAACUACGUG